rnacentral:rRNA from 1 species
GACGAACGCUGGCGGCGCGCCUAACACAUGCAGGUCGAACGAGCGAGAGAGAGCUUGCUUUCUCGAGCGAGUGGCGAACGGGUGAGUAACGCGUGAGGAACCUGCCUCAAAGAGGGGGACAACAGUUGGAAACGACUGCUAAUACCGCAUAAGCCCACGGUGCCGCAUGGCACAGAGGGAAAAGGAGCAAUCCGCUUUGAGAUGGCCUCGCGUCCGAUUAGCUAGUUGGUGAGGUAAUGGCCCACCAAGGCGACGAUCGGUAGCCGGACUGAGAGGUUGAACGGCCACAUUGGGACUGAGACACGGCCCAGACUCCUACGGGAGGCAGCAGUGGGGAAUAUUGCACAAUGGGGGAAACCCUGAUGCAGCGACGCCGCGUGGAGGAAGAAGGUCUUCGGAUUGUAAACUCCUGUUGUUGGGGAAGAUAAUGACGGUACCCAACAAGGAAGAGACGGCUAACUACGUA